rnacentral:rRNA from 1 species
AGAGUUUGAUCCUGGCUCAGGAUGAACGCUGGCGGCGUGCCUAAUACAUGCAAGUCGAGCGAACGGACGAGAAGCUUGCUUCUCUGAUGUUAGCGGCGGACGGGUGAGUAACACGUGGAUAACCUAGCUAUAAGACUGGGAUAACUUCGGGAAACCGUAGCUAAUACCGGAUAAUAUUUUGAACCGCAUGGUUCAAAAGUGAAAGACGGUCUUGCUGUCACUUAUAGAUGGAUCCGCGCUGCAUUAGCUAGUUGGUAAGGUAACGGCUUACCAAGGCAACGAUGCAUAGCCGACCUGAGAGGGUGAUCGGCCACACUGGAACUGAGACACGGUCCAGACUCCUACGGGAGGCAGCAGUAGGGAAUCUUCCGCAAUGGGCGAAAGCCUGACGGAGCAACGCCGCGUGAGUGAUGAAGGUCUUCGGAUCGUAAAACUCUGUUAUUAGGGAAGAACAUAUGUGUAAGUAACUGUGCACAUCUUGACGGUACCUAAUCAGAAAGCCACGGCUAACUACGUGCCAGCAGCCGCGGUAAUACGUAGGUGGCAAGCGUUAUCCGGAAUUAUUGGGCGUAAAGCGCGCGUAGGCGGUUUUUUAAGUCUGAUGUGAAAGCCCACGGCUCAACCGUGGAGGGUCAUUGGAAACUGGAAAACUUGAGUGCAGAAGAGGAAAGUGGAAUUCCAUGUGUAGCGGUGAAAUGCGCAGAGAUAUGGAGGAACACCAGUGGCGAAGGCGACUUUCUGGUCUGUAACUGACGCUGAUGUGCGAAAGCGUGGGGAUCAAACAGGAUUAGAUACCCUGGUAGUCCACGCCGUAAACGAUGAGUGCUAAGUGUUAGGGGGUUUCCGCCCCUUAGUGCUGCAGCUAACGCAUUAAGCACUCCGCCUGGGGAGUACGACCGCAAGGUUGAAACUCAAAGGAAUUGACGGGGACCCGCACAAGCGGUGGAGCAUGUGGUUUAAUUCGAAGCAACGCGAAGAACCUUACCAAAUCUUGACAUCCUUUGACAACUCUAGAGAUAGAGC